ACGCACGCUGGCGGCGUGCUUAACACAUGCCAGUCGCACGGAAAGGCCCUGCUUGCAGGGUACUCGAGUGGCGAACGGGUGAGUAACACGUGGGUGAUCUGCCCUGCACUUCGGGAUAAGCCUGGGAAACUGGGUCUAAUACCGGAUAGGAGCCAUUUUUAGUGUGAUGGUUGGAAAGUUUUUUCGGUGUAGGAUGAGCUCGCGGCCUAUCAGCUUGUUGGUGGGGUAAUGGCCUACCAAGGCGGCGACGGGUAGCCGGCCUGAGAGGGUGGACGGCCACAUUGGGACUGAGAGACGGCCCAGACUCCUACGGGAGGCAGCAGUGGGGAAUAUUGCACAAUGGGCGCAAGCCUGAUGCAGCGACGCCGCGUGGGGGAUGACGGCCUUCGGGUUGUAAACUCCUUUCGCUAGGGACGAAGCUUUUUGUGACGGUACCUAGAUAAGAAGCACCGGCUAACUACGUG
rnacentral:rRNA from 1 species